CUCACAUGCACAGACUUAGCUGUGCAUACAUUUUCACAUGCCAGUGGUGAAUAUUUUUUAUUGUCUGCAACAUACUUGCAGGAUAAAGUUGUACACGAUGACAUUGGAAGGAUGUCCGAGGAUAGCAGUUCUGAUGAUGAUUGAUGACAUUGGAAGGAUGUCCGAGGAUAGCAGUUCUGAUGAUUGAUUUUGUGGAGGAUGACAUAGGAAGGAUGUCUGAGGAUAGCAGUUCUGAUGAUGAUUUGUGGAGAACUAGGAUCCUUUUUUUUUUUCAGGGAAAACCUUGUGUCG
rnacentral:lncRNA from 1 species